rnacentral:rRNA from 1 species
UACGAAGGGGGCUAGCGUUGCUCGGAAUCACUGGGCGUAAAGCGCACGUAGGCGGAUUGUUAAGUCAGGGGUGAAAUCCUGGAGCUCAACUCCAGAACUGCCUUUGAUACUGGCGAUCUCGAGUCCGGGAGAGGUGAGUGGAACUGCGAGUGUAGAGGUGAAAUUCGUAGAUAUUCGCAAGAACACCAGUGGCGAAGGCGCUCACUGGCCCGGUACUGACGCUGAGGCACGAAGGCCAGGGGAGCAAACGGG